rnacentral:rRNA from 1 species
GAUGAACGCUGGCGGCGUGCUUAACACAUGCAAGUCGAACGGUGAAGGCGGAGCUUGCUCUGCUGGAUCAGUGGCGAACGGGUGAGUAACACGUGAGCAAUCUGCCCCUGACUCUGGGAUAAGCGCUGGAAACGGCGUCUAAUACUGGAUACGAGCUGCGAAGGCAUCUUCAGCAGCUGGAAAGAAUUUCGGUCAGGGAUGAGCUCGCGGCCUAUCAGCUUGUUGGUGAGGUAAUGGCUCACCAAGGCGUCGACGGGUAGCCGGCCUGAGAGGGUGACCGGCCACACUGGGACUGAGACACGGCCCAGACUCCUCCGGGAGGCAGCAGUGGGGAAUAUCGCACAAUGGGCGAAAGCCUGAUGCAGCAACGCCGCGUGAGGGACGACGGCCUUCGGGUUGUAAACCUCUUUUAGCAGGGAAGAAGCGAAAGUGACGGUACCUGCAGAAAAAGCGCCGGCUAACUACGUG